GACCCAAGUGGACAGAGACACGGACAAAGGCAUGUGGACCAGCGAAGACCCUGAUUGACUCGCAGAUCUUGGGACAAUCUGGACCCCUGAGCUCGGUGUGAGGGCUUGGGACCAGGGGAUGUAAGCCACUCCUGGUUCUGGGAGAUCCAGGUGAGGAAGGGAGCAUGCAGCAGCUCUUUGACUGGAUCUUUGACUCGCACACCCUGGAAAAUGAAACCUAGGCAUUUGGACAAGAGCAGCCUAAGUCAGCUGGGAUAGGAUUCAGUGUCCCCCUGGGUGACCCCGCCUCCUGAGGAACAUGGC